rnacentral:lncRNA from 1 species
CUCGGGUGGAGCGAGCCAAAUUCACGGAUUAUCUAAUCAGGGAAAAAAAUAUUCAAUAACGUUGAAACAUUUGACAAUUAACCCUAGCUCUAGAUUCCUAGGACUGACUGUCUAGAAAUUUUGACUCGGGUAGAACCUCCCCUAAAAUACGAACAUUUACUCCUUGUAAAACGGGUCCAGGACCUGCCAGAAAACACUUCAAAUAUUCAACAAUUUAUUUUAACGGGGGUCGGGUCCCCAAGACUUUACUAUUUUUUCUGACUCCGCCACAUAUCACAAUUCACGACUAAAGGCAAACAGUCCGACA